rnacentral:rRNA from 1 species
UGGGGAAUAUUGGACAAUGGGCGCAAGCCUGAUCCAGCCAUGCCGCGCGAGUGAUGAAGGCCUUAGGGUUGUAAAGCUCUUUCAGUAGGGAAGAUAAUGACGGUACCUACAGAAGAAGCCCCGGCUAACUUCGUGCCAGCAGCCGCGGUAAUACGAAGGGGGCUAGCGUUGUUCGGAUUUACUGGGCGUAAAGCGCACGUAGGCGGGUCGUUAAGUCAGGGGUGAAAUCCUGGAGCUCAACUCCAGAACUGCCUUUGAUACUGGCGACCUAGAGUCCGGAAGAGGUGAGUGGAACUCCUAGUGUAGAGGUGGAAUUCGUAGAUAUUAGGAAGAACACCAGUGGCGAAGGCGGCUCACUGGUCCGGUACUGACGCUGAGGUGCGAAAGCGUGGGGAGCAAACAGG